rnacentral:rRNA from 1 species
UACGAAGGGGGCUAGCGUUGCUCGGAAUCACUGGGCGUAAAGGGUGCGUAGGCGGGUCUUUAAGUCAGGGGUGAAAUCCUGGAGCUCAACUCCAGAACUGCCCUUUGAUACUGAAGAUCUUGAGUUCGGGAGAGGUGAGUGGAACUGCGAGUGUAGAGGUGAAUUCGUAGAUAUUCGCAAGAACACCAGUGGCGAAGGCGGCUCACUGGCCCGAUACUGACGCUGAUGCACGAAAGCGUGGGGAGCAAACAGG